rnacentral:rRNA from 1 species
UACGGAGGGGGCUAGCGUUGUUCGGAAUUACUGGGCGUAAAGGGCGCGUAGGCGGACUUGUAAGUCAGGUGUGAAAGGCCUGGGCUCAACCCGGGAACAGCAUUUGAUACUGAGAGGCUUGAGUCCGGGAGAGGAUGGCGGAAUUCCCAGUGUAGAGGUGAAAUUCGUAGAUAUUGGGAAGAACACCGGUGGCGAAGGCGGCCAUCUGGACCGGUACUGACGCUGAGGCGCGAAAGCGUGGGGAGCAAACAGG